GGGCACUUGGCACAGGGGUAGCGCGCACGCUUCGCAUUUGUUUGCGUGAGGUCGAGGGUUCAAUUCCCUCAGUGUCCA